rnacentral:rRNA from 1 species
CCUACGGGUGGCAGCAGUGGGGAAUAUUGGACAAUGGGGGCAACCCUGAUCCAGCCAUGCCGCGUGUGUGAAGAAGGCCCUCGGGUUGUAAAGCACUUUCAGUGAGGAAGAACGCCUGGUGGUUAAUACCCAUCAGGAAAGACAUCACUCACAGAAGAAGCACCGGCUAACUCCGUGCCAGCAGCCGCGGUAAUACGGAGGGUGCGAGCGUUAAUCGGAAUUACUGGGCGUAAAGCGCGCGUAGGUGGCUUGAUAAGCCGGUUGUGAAAGCCCCGGGCUCAACCUGGGAACGGCAUCCGGAACUGUCAAGCUAGGGUGCAGGAGAGGAAGGUAGAAUUGCCGGUGUAGCGGUGAAAUGCGUAGAGAUCGGGAGGAAUACCAGUGGCGAAGGCGGCCUUCUGGACUGACACUGACACUGAGGUGCGAAAGCGUGGGUAGCAAACAGGAUUAGAUACCCUAGUAGUC